rnacentral:rRNA from 1 species
UACAGAGGUCCCAAGCGUUGUUCGGAUUCAUUGGGCGUAAAGGGUGCGUAGGUGGCGAUGUAAGUCGGGUGUGAAAUCUCCAGGCUCAACCUGGAAACUGCACUCGAUACUGCAUUGCUUGAGGACUGUAGAGGGCAUUGGAAUUCACGGUGUAGCAGUGAAAUGCGUAGAUAUCGUGAGGAAGACCAGUGGCGAAGGCGAAUGCCUGGGCAGUUCCUGACACUGAGGCACGAAGGCCAGGGGAGCGAAC